rnacentral:rRNA from 1 species
GUUAGGAAUAUUGGACAAUGGGCGCAAGCCUGAUCCAGCCAUGCCGCGUGAGUGAUGAAGGCCUUCGGGUUGUAAAGCUCUUUAGUCCACGAAUAUAAUGACUGUAGUGGAAGAAUAAGCCCCGGCUAACUUCGUGCCAGCAGCCGCGGUAAUACGAAGGGGGCGAGCGUUAUUCGGAAUCACUGGGCGUAAAGCGUGCGUAGGCUGUUUUGUAAGUCAGAAGUGAAAGCCCAGGGCUUAACCCUGGAAUUGCUUUUGAAACUACAAGACUCGAAUUCGGGAGAGGAUAGCGGAAUUGUCAGUGUAGCAGUGAAAUGCGUAGAUAUUGACAGGAACACCAGUGGCGCAAGCGGCUAUCUGGACCGAUAUUGACGCUGAGGCACGAAAGCGUGGGGAUCAAACAGGAUUAGAAACCCCGGUAGUCC